rnacentral:lncRNA from 1 species
UGUCCCGUCCAGAACAGCUCGAUUGACUGAGUCCUUAUCAGAACGGAAACUUGCUCCAAAGCUUGAUCUAGUCCGGGAUAAUUCCCGAGAAAACUUUGCACUGGCAAGAGAUCAGAUAAGAUCAAAGAAGGGCCGGUCAGGUGGGCAUCCAAAGACUCCUUUUGUUUUCACGAAGUAUCUAGAAAUCAUGUAAGUAUACCUGAGCUGAUCUUCGAUUGUAGGACCAAAGGGAGGGCGUUGUUGCUGUGAUGCAGCUUCUUGUAGAUGAACAAGUGAUGCGUAGGCACUGUCUGGGUUCAAGAUAAGAUCUUCAUGGCUGCCAAUUUCCACAAUCUUGCCUUCUUGAACAACAGCAAUUAUAUCAGC